rnacentral:lncRNA from 1 species
CGCCUUGGUGUCAUGGUAAUGGGUAAAGUGCUGCAGCGGAAAGAGUGGUGCUGUCCCCUUGUUUCUAACGCAGCUCACUCCACCUCCCGCCACCCUCCUCUUCACCAUUCUGCUGUUCACAGACGUCUAAGUCAUCAUUAAAGUGUGUAACUGCCAAUUUUCUCUUCCUACUGGUAAAGUAUAGGGGGCGUGUUUGGAUUGUUAACUCUGUCAGAGUAGAAAAAUUCAACAGUGAUGCCACCGGCUAGUCACUCUUCAAAGGUAAACUAUUUCUGUUGAUGGCUGCUCCAUUCCUUCAGACCCAGAGGACACUGACACGGGACUGAUAGGACAGUGUGUUUAUUGUGAUGAUGUCCUAUUCACCGACCCUAAGAGGGAACUCUGCAUAAAAACAACACCUACUAACUAUCUUGUUCAUGCUAGAGACUAAUUAUUUCCCUGCCAG